rnacentral:rRNA from 1 species
GGAAUCUCGCGCAAUGGGCGAAAGCCUGACGCAGCGACGCCGCGUGGGUGAUGAAGGCCUUCGGGUCGUAAAGCCCUGUCGGGAGGGAAGAAAUCUCGUCGGUCUAAUAUGCCGACGACUUGACGGUACCUCUUAGGGAAGCACCGGCUAACUCCGUGCCCGCAGCCGCGGUAAUACGGAGGGUGCAAGCGUUGUCCGGAAUCACUGGGCGUAAAGCGCGUGUAGGCGGCCAUCUAAGUCUGGUGUGAAAGCCCUGGGCUCAACUCAGGAAGUGCACUGGAUACUGGAUGGCUGGAGUACCGGAGAGGAGGGUGGAAUUCCUGGUGUAGCGGUGAAAUGCGUAGAUAUCAGGAGGAACACCGGUGGCGAAGGCGUCCCUCUGGCCGGAUACUGACGCUGAGACGCGAAAGCGUGGGGAGCAAAC